UCGUCCUACGGGGGCAGCAGUGAGGAAUAUUGGUCAAUGGUCGGGAGACUGAACCAGCCAAGCCGCGUGAGGGAGGAAGGGACAGAGUAUCGUAAACCUCUUUUGUCAGGGAACAAAGACUGGGACGCGUCCCCGGAUGAGUGUACCUGAAGAAAAAGCAUCGGCUAACUCCGUGCCAGCAGCCGCGGUAAUACGGAGGAUGCGAGCGUUAUCCGGAUUUAUUGGGUGUAAAGGGAGCGUAGACGGAGGAGCAAGUCUGAUGUGAAGAUCCGGGGCCCAACCCCGGAACUGCAUUGGAAACUGUU
rnacentral:rRNA from 1 species